UCUCUUCAGUAAGCACUGCUAUGGAGGCAAUUGGGCCGGUAAAGUGUAUCCCGCCACAGGUGGAGAACAGCAUUUCAGCUGUGAUUCCUGGCCGCUCAGAAUGGUGCAUUUCCUGGCAGAGGACCGGUGGUGUCCCGAUACCUGUUCUCGAUCAUAAAGACCAGGGAACCUCUUAUGAAUGAAGAGAGCAUCAAUCACAUUAAGUCUAUAAUUGCGCAAAAGGGAAGUGACGCAUGGUGGUACAUGAAAGUCGUUGAUCUACUUCCAGGCAGAUAUCACGAUGAAGCUUCAAACUAUGAAAGGGGGGCAGAUACGCUGGAUGUGUGGUUUGACUCAGGCUCUUCAUGGGCAGCUGUGCUGGGGAAAAGAAACGGGCUUCAUUUUCCUGCAGAUUUGCCACUUGAAGGCACAUACCGGCAUCGAGGGUGGUUCCAGAGUUCAUUAUUAACAAGCAUAGCUACGAACGGGCUCCAAACAAAGGGGUUGUAGGGCACGGGUUCGUCCUAGAUGAGAAGGGUCUCAAAAUGAGCAUAUCUCUUGGCAACUUUGAUGAUCCACAUACUGUAAUGGAAGGAGGGAAGAACCAAAAGGAAGCACCAGCAUUCGGAGCAGAUGUUCUACGUUUGUGGGGUUCUAGUGUAGAAUACACUACAGAUGUGACGAUCGGUCCCCAAGCCCUGCGUCAAAUUUCUGAUAUAUACAGAAAUUCUAUCCCGUUGCAUGAAAAUAUUCUC